AGCGAAUAGAUACCCCGGUAGUCCACGCUGUAAACGAUGGAUACUAGGUGUAGCAGGUAUCGACCCCUGCUGUGCCGCAGCUAACGCAAUAAGUAUCCCGCCUGGGGAGUAUGGCCGCAAGGUUGAAACUCAAAGGAAUUGACGGGGGCCCGCACAAGCGGUGGAGGAUGUGGUUUAAUUCGACGCAACGCGAAGAACCUUACCAAGGCUUGACAUCCACUGAAUCUUGUAGAAAUACAGGAGUGCCCGAAAGGGAGCAGUGAGACAGGUGGUGCAUGGCUGUCGUCAGCUCGUGUCGUGAGAUGUUGGGUUAAGUCCCGCAACGAGCGCAACCCUCGACGUUAGUUACCAUCAUUCAGUUGGGGACUCUAACGUGACUGCCGGUGAUAAGCCGGAGGAAGGUGAGGACGACGUCAAGUCAUCAUGCCCCUUACGUCUUGGGCUACACACGUCCUACAAUGGCAUAGACAAAGGGCUGCAAGACCGCGAGGUUGAGCGAAUCUCAUAAACUAUGUCUCAGUUC
rnacentral:rRNA from 1 species